GGCGCCGGCGCGGCUAGGGUUCCGGCUCCUUGGGGAGCCGGGCAACAGAAGAUUAUAAUAUCUUUAUUGCUUAAUCUCAAACGGUGUCUUACAGCUAGUAUUUAUAACUUUAGCCUAAGAUAACUUUGCCUAAGAUAACUUGUGGGCCAAGCCCCUAAUACUAAUGCCCG